rnacentral:rRNA from 1 species
UACGGAGGGGGCGAGCGUUAUUCGGAAUUAUUGGGCGUAAAGGGCGCGUAGGCGGCUUGAUAAGUCAAAGGUGAAAUCCCUCGGCUCAACUGAGGAACUGCCUUUGAAACUGUCUGGCUUGAGGCCGGGAGGGGGUAGCGGAAUUCCCAGUGUAGCGGUGAAAUGCGUAGAUACUGGGAGGAACACCGGUGGCGAAGGCGGCUACCUGGACCGGUUCUGACGCUGAUGCGCGAAAGCGUUGGUAGCAAACAGG